AUUUUAAAUUUUUAUUUUAGAUAUUUUCAUUUAAUGAAGUGACGCCGUAUACUUAUGGUCACAUCAAAUUUUUUAGAUGCCAAAAACAUAUGGAAAUAAAAAAAAACACUAAAAAUUUAAUAGGGAACAAAAAGAAAAACUAAGAUAUCUUUAAAAAAAAACAGGAGAUUAAAACUACAUUUAAACUUUCUUUGUAAUAUUAAUAUAUGAUUUAUGCAAAGCUAUUAAAAAGAGAAAAAGAGAAAAACACGACCACAUGGAAAUGAUCAAAAUCUUACAUGAACACAUUUUCUAUUAAGGACCACUUGAUAUAUGAUUAUGUUAAUUCAAAUUUCUCACACUUUCUUCCAUCUCAUCCAAUGAUUGAAUCAACCACCAAAGCUAUCUAUCCAGAAAAAAUAAUGUUGCAAAACCCAAAAAAACAAAAAACAAAAAACAAUAGUGGAUCGUUUUAUAUAUACUCAAGUUGUUCCUUUCAACAAUAGUCCCAUACUUAUUUUUAUCAUUUUUACUUUCAGCA
rnacentral:lncRNA from 1 species